rnacentral:rRNA from 1 species
UCGAGAAUUUUUCACAAUGGGCGAAAGCCUGAUGGAGCGACGCCGCGUGGGGGAUGAAGGGCUUCGGUCCGUAAACCCCUGUCAUUUGCGAACAAACCUUUCUAUCUAACACAUGGAAAGCUGAUUGUAGCGAAAGAGGAAGGGACGGCUAACUCUGUGCCAGCAGCCGCGGUAAUACAGAGGUCCCAAGCGUUGUUCGGAUUUACUGGGCGUAAAGGGUGCGUAGGUGGCGAGGUAAGUUUGAUGUGAAAUCUCCGAGCUCAACUCGGAAAUGGCAUUGAAUACUAUCCCGCUUGAGGGUCGGAGGGGAGACUGGAAUUCUCGGUGUAGCAGUGAAAUGCGUAGAUAUCGAGAGGAACACCAGUGGCGAAGGCGAGUCUCUGGACGACUCCUGACACUGAGGCACGAAAGCUGGGGGAGCAAACAG